rnacentral:rRNA from 1 species
CCUACGGGUGGCAGCAGUGAGGAAUAUUGGACAAUGGGCGCGAGCCUGAAGCAGCCAAGUAGCGUGAAGGAUGACUGCCCUACGGGUGGUAAACUUCGUUUAUAAAGGAAUAAAGUGAGGCAAGUGUGCCUUUUUGUAUGUACUUUAUGAAUAAGGAUAGGCUAACUACGUGCCAGCAGCCGCGGUAAUACGGAGGAUACGAGCGUUAUCCGGAUUGAUUGGGUUUAAAGGGAGCGUAGAUGGGUUGUUAAGUCAGUUGUGAAAGUUUGCGGCUGAACUGUAAGAUUGCAAUUGAUACUGGCAUUCUUGAGUACAGUUGAGGUAGGCGGAAUUCGGGGUGUAGCGGUGAAAUGCUUAGAUAUCACGAAGAACUCCGAUGGCGAAGGCAGCCUACUAAGCUUCCACUGACAUUGAUGCUCGAAAGUGUGGGUAUCAAACAGGAUUAGAUACCCGAGUAGUC